UACGUAGGGGGCAAGCGUUGUCCGGAAUUAUUGGGCGUAAAGAGCGCGUAGGCGGUCCGAUUAGUCGGCUGUGAAAGUCAGGGGCUCAACCCUUGGAAGCCGGCCGAUACUGUCGGACUAGAGUCCGGAAGAGGCGAGUGGAAUUCCCGGUGUAGCGGUGAAAUGCGCAGAUAUCAGGAAGAACACCCGUGGCUAAGGCGGCUCUCUAGUACGGUACUGACGCUGAGACGCGAAAGCGUGGGGAGCGAACAGG
rnacentral:rRNA from 1 species